rnacentral:rRNA from 1 species
CGGAGGUGCAAGCGUUAUCCGGAAUCAUUGGGUUAAGGGUCCGCAGGCGGACUGUAAGUCAGUGGUGAAUCCGGCAGCUCAACUGUCGCACUGCCAUUGAUACUGCAGUCCUUGAAUUUGAUUGGAGUGGGCGGAAUAUGUCAUGUAGCGGUGAAAUGCUUAGAUAUGACAUAGAACACCGAUAGCGAAGGCAGCUCACUAAGUCUGAAUUGACGCUCAUGGACGAAAGCGCGGUAGCAAACAGGAUU